rnacentral:rRNA from 1 species
CGGUCUUUCAGUUCGGCUGGAUAUCACACAGGUCUGCAUGGCUGUCGUCAGCUCGUGUCGUGAGAUGUUGGGUUAAGUCCCGCAACGAGCGCAACCCUCGCCUUCAGUUGCCAGCAUUCAGUUGGGCACUCUGGAGGAACCGCCGGUGAUAAGCCGGAGGAAGGUGGGGAUGACGUCAAGCCCCCAUGGCCCUUACGGGAUGGGCUACACACGUGCUACAAUGGCAGUGACAAUGGGCUAAUCCCCAAAAGCUGUCUCAGUUCGGAUUGGGGUCUGCAACUCGACCCCAUGAAGUUGGAAUCGCUAGUAAUCGCGUAACAGCAUGACGCGGUGAAUACGUUCCCGGGCCUUGUACACACCGCCCGUCACACCAUGGGAAUUGGAUCUACCCGAAGGUGGUGCGCCAACCAGUAAUGGAGGCAGCCAACCACGGUAGGUUCAGUGACUGGGGUGAAGUCGUAACAAGGUAG